CCUACGGGCGGCAGCAGUGAGGAAUAUUGGUCAAUGGGAGAGAUACUGAACCAGCCAAGCCGCGUGAGGGAAGACGGCCCUAUGGAUUGUAAACCCCUUUUGUCGGAGAACAAAACCUGGGACGCGUCCCCGGCUGCGUGUAUCCGAAGAAAAAGCAUCGGCUAACUCCGUGCCAGCAGCCGCGGUAAUACGGAGGAUGCGAGCGUUAUCCGGAUUUAUUGGGUUUAAAGGGUGCGUAGGCGGUCCGUUAAGUCAGCGGUAAAAGUGCGGGGCUCAACCCCGGCGCGCCGUUGAAACUGGCAGACUUGAGUUGGCGAGAAGUACGCGGAAUGCGCGGUGUAGCGGUGAAAUGCAUAGAUAUCGCGCAGAACUCCGAUUGCGAAGGCAGCAUGCCGGCGCCAGACUGACGCUGAGGCACGAAAGCGUGGGGAUCGAACAGGAUUAGAUACCCGUGUAGUC
rnacentral:rRNA from 1 species